AGCUGCAAAACUUUGCAACACAAAGCCACUUUACAAAGAGUUUAGCUCUAUAGAAACCCCAGUGAAUGCUAGGAGGAAUCCCAGAAAACUUUGCAUGAUGCUUCAAAAUGCACCACAGGGAUCCCGUGCUUGUUACCUCCUGACACCAUCUUUCUGUAAAGGAAAAAGCAUACAGCGCUCUGUGGAGCGAUUACCCUGGGGUCCUACGCAUUCAGCACUAAUAUUGGGAAGUUUCAGAUCUCACAAAGAAGACAACAAGGACCUUUGAUUGCCCCUGUUGAAGCUCCUGGUAAGAAGCAGGUCACUUCCCUCCAGCCCCUCGGAGCCUAGAUGUGUGGACAUUUUCAUGCCCACUUGACAGGUGACUGUUUUACCAGACAGGGUUGUCAGUGCUGCUGGGGGUUAUCUGGAUUUAGCUGUAGGCAGGAACUGAACCACAAUGAGCAUUAAAAAAGCUCACUGUUCUUCGUUUGUUUAGAGACAGGCCAUCUCAAACUUGUUUGAAGCCUUUUUUAUUGAAUUCACACUCUUGUGCCAAGCACUGAAAGAUUUACUUUGGCUAUUGCUGUAAGAUGGAAAGCAUAUGAAUGCGUGGCUGUCUGCCAGCUAUGGGUGAGCAGUGAAAGGUCUGCUACAAUGGACGGUUACAUGGAACAAAUGUGAAUGCAGCGGGCAGACGUGACUAAAGAAAGGCUUUGGCAUUCAAAGAACUGCUUGAGGUUUAAUCCAGUGACUGAAGUAGGGUCAAGAGAUAACACGUCUAACCUGCAAAGCUUUUAACUGUGCAGCAGCUGAAAAGUAGUCGGCUACAGGUAGACACACGUGUCGUCUGGAGUACCAGCUGCUUGCCUCCCCUUGCAGGCUCUGGCUCGUCCACAGACUCCAUCUGCGAAGGCGAAGACCCAGUUGGACUUAUCCAACGCAAGGUACCACAAUUGCUGUUGUACGUUUCUUGCAGAUGUUGCCAUAAUUUUGUUGUGGUACAAUUUGACGUACGACUCCCUGCUGCAUCCGAAAGGGGCACAUUAUCUCAAUUAAUGUUUCACAGCAAACGUGGCACUGAUAGUAUUCAUGGGACUAAAGACUAUUACCAUUUGCAUGGUGACUAGCACAAGAAUUAUGACUAUGUGUGCUUUCUGCAGCAAAAUUUGCCCUCAGGCUCCCUUUUUUUUUUUCUUUUUGGCUUGUGACAAUGUUCCCUUUUUCUUCCUCCUUCUGUUUUGAUUUCUACUUAAAGUUUUAUGGCUCUGUCCCCUCCAGGGUGCUAUUAUCUUGUAUGCUAAUAGGGCUAUGCAUAUUCUAUUAGCGUUGUCAGUGUGAGAUAAGAGGCACAUUCUGUAAGGAGCACUCGGGGGGUAAUAAUCACAGCAAGGGGUCUCAAUGUUAGUACAUUAUCAGUCAUCUUCACAUUUCAGUGGAGCCUGUUUAUGCACCUCUUCAGCUGCGCAACCCAGACACUGAAAAUUGCUGAAUGUUUACGGAAACUGUUGUAGAGGAACAUAAUGGGAUUGGAGAUUGACUUGAUAAAGGAGCCUUCUCCCUUGUUGCUUCCAGAUACAAGAUGUUUGUAACUGUAUGCAAUAAGUAGGAUAAUAUGUUAUAUGGCAGUUAGCAGCGAAAAGCAGGCUCAGAUCUGUAUUUCAAGCAGUAGAGCAGCUAUCUAGGAAAAGAUUUCAAAAGGGCGCACACCAUCAGGGUUUCUGCAGAGAUUUCUCUUUCUUUCUCCCUUUCUACAUCGUAACGCCCAAAUGCACGCACCUGGUUCACAUCAGUAGGAAGGCUGACAAUUUUUACACCCUUUAGUCUUGAACUUGAAUGAUUAUAAGUAAGUAGGCCCGUAGAAAGGAAAUUGGUGACAGCAUGUGAAGGGCAAACGAGUAACUAUUUGCAACACUCUUUGUUAGUUAAAUAACAUUCCUUAGUUGCAGCAAUGGGCAAUGGCGUGUGAAAUAGGUGUCAUGCGAAUGUUUUCUUCAGCUGUUGAUGACGCUAUGGGCUGGUGAGGCAGAGAGUUUUCUGUUGUUGGACUGAGAAACUGUUGUUUCUCCCAGCUCGCUUGCGUUCCCGUUAAGAUUCGCAGGGGUGGCAGCGCUGCAGCCUGCCAUCAUAGCCAUCCUAUGGCAGGCAUCGCUACGCCCUACCGGCAAGAGUUCAUCCACGGGGCAAGUCCAACAUAGCAAACUUUGGGCAGAGGUCUACUGACCAAGUGGAUAAUUGUGUUCCAAUGCAUCCUGUGAAUAAUGCAGAUAAAAAACCUUCAGUGAAUAAUUCAUUUUGCCUCCACUCAUUUUGAAUUAGCCUAUUCACUGACUUCUGGAUCCUAAGUCAAGCAAAGCCUAUGAGCGGGAGGAGACACUUGCCUUAGGGAUGGCAUUCCCUGAGGGGUAUGGACAGCACCGAAAUUGCCCGAGCAGCACUGAUAACGUGCCUGCAGCUCGAGAACAUUUGUAACAGGCUCAUCUGAAAAGCAGAGGGAAGGAGGCUAUUUCCUGAUCAGAUUUGUCAGAGAAGUUCUGAUAAGCAUCUGAGAAGCAUCUGAAAUCUGCACAGCACGUACCCCUGGUCUGGCUCUGGAAUACGUAUCAUUCACAUGCAAAAACUGUUGCUCAGUGUGGGUGGAUGCUUGAUGUAUGGCUCCAGAGGACAAGGUGCUGUGACAGCCAGUGGAACUGACUGAAUGGCCAAGGGUCUCUGGAAAUUCCGGUGGGAAUCCAUUUGCUGUGCGUUCUCCUGCCUUGAGCAGUCAACAAGUUGCGAGCAUGCAGCUCCUAAUGAGGGCUGGCAGGACAGAUGGUUUCUCUUUCCCUGAGAGUUCUUGCUCUGCAGAGAGAGGCGGACACUCGUUUUGACUCCUUGUCGGGGGCUUUUCAGUUUCCAGUCCAUUACAAGUGACAUAGCCGAUAAAGAGCCUGUCUGUCAGGCUGCGUUGUCUCUGGAGGGGCGAAUCUUCAUCCCUUCCUGUACUCGUACCAGAACUGUCUGCUUGUGCUGUGUCAGAUCACGCUGGGCACCAGGUGAGGGGGAACUCUGCUGGGAGCCGAUCACAGCUUCCCAGCCCUGCCAAGUCCUGUCCCACGCACCCCUCCUAGCACUUCAUAGGCAAUGGCAGCUCUGGAAGAAACUUCUUCCCAAGUGGGGAUGUCGGUGCUUAAAAUAAAUCACUGCCUAUCGUUUUCUGAGUGGGUCAGAAGAAGACUUGUAAGCCUGCGUUGUGAACAGCUCUAACCCACUGCUUGGGAAAGAAAUGCCAGAGCAGACAGCAUUGCUCUGGAUCCAUCACCCAUGAAAGAAAAAAGGAAGCAAAAAUCUGACAGCUGUGGCCAGUCAUGAAUUAUUUUGUGCAGUCACAUAUUGGGGAUGUAUAGCUCCUUUCAUUUACAGAAAGUGCACCUCUAUAAACCAAUCAAGGUCAUACCGCACUUCUCGGUGGGAACUGCUAUUCCCGUUCUGCAGCAGAGAAGGAAAAGGGUAGAUCUGCACAGAAUUUGUCUUCCUUCAACGGGGACCUUGCAGGCUACACCAAGGGGAUCUGAGUGGCAAAGUCGGUGCCGCCAGUGACUGGUCCAUGGCCAGCAGGGAUUCUGCAGCAGAACGGGGGUGGAGUGUGGGGGUUUGCAUCCCAAAGCAUUGAUCUGAACAGCUAUAACUGAAAUAACGUAUCUAGGUUUCAUUGCUAAUGAAUAAGCAAGCCGCUCGCUACUCUGAGCCUCCCCUUUUUUCUUUCUAAUUUGGACUGACCUUCUGUGUCUUUGCCAGAGUCCAAGUGUUACUUUCCAAUGCCCGUUUACGAGGAAUAAAGACAAGACA